UACGGAGGAUCCAAGCGUUAUCCGGAAUCAUUGGGUUUAAAGGGUCCGUAGGCGGCCCGAUAAGUCAGUGGUGAAAUCUCCCGGCUCAACCGGGAAAUGGCCAUUGAUACUGUCGGGCUUGAAUUAUUAGGAAGUAACUAGAAUAUGUAGUGUAGCGGUGAAAUGCUUAGAUAUUACAUGGAAUACCCAUUGCGAAGGCAGGUUACUACUAAUGGAUUGACGCUGAUGGACGAAAGCGUGGGUAGCGAACAGG
rnacentral:rRNA from 1 species